UACGGGGGGAGCAAGCGUUGUCCGGAAUCAUUGGGCGUAAAGAGCGUGUAGGCGGUCCGGUAAGUCGGCUGUGAAAGUCCAGGGCUCAACCCUGGGAUGCCGGUCGAUACUGCCGGACUAGAGUUCGGAAGAGGCGAGUGGAAUUCCCGGUGUAGCGGUGAAAUGCGCAGAUAUCAGGAAGAACACCCGUGGCGAAGGCGGCUCUCUGGGACGGUACUGACGCUGAGACGCGAAAGCGUGGGGAGCGAACAGG
rnacentral:rRNA from 1 species